rnacentral:misc_RNA from 1 species
UACGUAGGGGGCAAGCGUUGUCCGGAAUUAUUGGUCGUAUAGGGCGCGCAGGCGGUUUCCUAAGUCGGAUGUGAAAGGCCACGGCUCAACCGUGGAAUGGCAUUGGAAACUGGGGAACUUGAGUACAGGAGAGGAGAGUGGAAUCCAACGUGUAGCGGUGAAAUGCGUAGAGAUGUGGAGGACCACCAGUGGCGAAGGCGGCUCUCUGGCCUGUAACUGACGCUGAGGCGCGAAAGUGUGGGGAGCAAACAGG